rnacentral:tRNA from 1 species
GCCUUCGUGGCGUAGUGGUCAGCACGCUCGACGCCUAACCGAGACGCGUAACCGUGGUUCGAUUUCCGGCGAAGGCG